GACGGAUCUCCAUUUCGUAGCGGACACUGAGACGAUAGAGCAGCUCACUGGAAAAGCUCCCCGCUGUUGGACUAACUGUUCCCCCUACUUUUUCUUUUUCUUUACCUGGUUGGAAUAGUUUCUUUUUCCUAAUUGUGAGUAUGAAUGUAGCAAUGGCGGAGGGCUGUUUUCUGUCCGCCCUGCAGCCCAACUCCUCCUGCACCGCCUAUGUGCUUCCCUCGGACAACCCGUCACCGGACCCGAUGGCCAGAGCCAAGAGGGUGCGGGAUCAGGUCCGGAUGCGACUGGCUGAGAGGAAGUCCUCGUCCUUGACCAGACUGGAUGACUCGAGGUUCGGAUCAACAGAUUAUAGCCUUCCUGAGGCAAAGUGCUAUACCCACACUCACGGUUUCAGUUCCAGAUCUAUGAUCUCAGCACCAAGUCGUGUCAUGGCUGUGCCCACAGCACCCCUUCCCUCUUCGGUGUUCUCCUCUCGUUCUGCUGUGGAAACCAGUUCCAAGGCGAGCCAUAAAUCCACCAGCAUGGCCCAAAGUAAUUUCCAGACCUUCCAGGCACACAGCAGAAGCAGACGAUCAAAGUCAGUGGGCCAGGGAGAGCAAGAAGCAUGUCCUCUCACUGUGUUGGUUCAUCCAGAGAAUGCCUCAGUUCAGUUUGCUGUGCCACCACAUGGCACCCUAAGGCGCAGUCUCAGUGGAAUACUGGCCCAGGAAAGGGGCUACUGGCCAGAGGAGGAUCUUUCCUACCAGUAUACCUACAAAGGCCCCUCUCACCGCACCAUCAACCGCAUCGCCAACAGACAGCAACACUACCAACAGCAGAGCACUGGGUUUGGACAUGAGGGUUGGGUGGAGAAUGGCAGAGGGAUCCAUGCCGUAGCAGACAACUGGGGGACACAGGGGCAUCAGCGUAUGUCCAGGGCCAGUCAUAGCAUGGGGACCAGUCAGUAUGCUCAUCUCCACCGGGCUGCCUCACUUCGCAGUUUGAGGAGUGUCGGGAAAGGAGUGGAUGUCUUGGAUGGGGCAUCAAUACACAGCAAUGACGCGCUGAGAGAUAUGCAGGGACUGGACAUGACUACAGCUGUCAGAUAUCUGUCUGAGUCCGAUGCUGCCUCACAAGUACUGGGAGCUGCAUACAUACAGCACCAAUGUUACCAUAGCAACGAUGCCAAAAACCAGGUCCGUGCCCUGCGUGGUAUUCCACCUCUCGUGCAUCUCUUCUCCAGUGAAAACCUAGAAGUGCAGCGUUAUGCUACUGGCGCCAUGCGAAACCUCAUAUAUGAGAACGUUGAAAACAAGGCCGCCCUCCUAGAUGCCGGUGGAUUGAUGCCUCUUGUCAACAUCCUCAGCGAACCAGACGAAGAGCUGCGAAAGACCAUUACUGGAGUCUUAUGGAAUCUGUCCUCCAGAGACAAUUUGAAGGAGAAGCUUUCCGUUGAUGCUCUACCAGUGCUCACAGAGAAAGUCCUGAUUCCCUUGUGCAAGAGCAUCCCGCUUAACUCAUCUGAGAAGGAGAUCUUUUACAACACAACCGGCUGCCUCAGGAACCUGAGCUCCGUGAAUGAGAGAACAAGACGGAAGAUGAGGGAUAUGCGAGGCUUGGUGGAGUCUUUGGUGUGCUACAUUCAGCAAGAAGAACAGGCAGAUGACAAGGGUUUGGAGAAUUCAUUGUGUGUAAUGAGGAAUCUGUCAUAUCAACUGUACUCGGAGCUACCGCCCUCAGUCCGACUCCAUCUGGAGGGCCCAACAAGAGCUUCCGCCUCCAGAAACAGUGAAACCAUCGGCUGCUUUACCGUCUAUACCAAAAAAAGCAGGGAGCAGUACCACCACCAUCUUUCCACACUCUCUCAACCAAAGGGGGCUGAGUGGCUUUGGCACCCUAAGGUGGUGGUCCUCUACAAGCUCAUUCUCCAGAACAGGGACAACAGUUCCACCAGCCGUGAAGCUGCCCUAGGAGCCCUGCAAAAUAUUACUGCAGGAGAGGCCAGGUGGGCAUCAGUGCUGAGUUGUGUGGUGAUUGAGCAGGAGAGGAUGUUACCCAUUUUGCUAGAUAUGUUGGAUACCAACAGUGAAAUGGAAAUGAAGCCUCUGACCGGGCUGCUGAGGAAUCUGGCUAGACACGCUACAGACAAAGAACACAUGGCUAGGAACAUGGUGAAUGUUCUUGUGUCCAAGCUGCCCAGUGAUGGCCUUCAGAAGACACCCUCCAGUGAGGUGGUGGUCAACAUCUGUGGAGCACUCAACAACCUGGUCACCUGCAGCUCCAUGGCAGCCCGUGACAUCGCUCACUACAACGGCCUUCCAAAACUGAUAGGCAUCAAGACGUCCCAUGACAACAGAGAGCUCUCAGUGACCUGUGUUUCCUGUUUGUGACUUUACAUAUCUCAUACCACCCCGACCUCCCCUCUGCCACGGAAAUAUAACCUUUCCCUAAUGUUACAGCUCUGGGAGUCUAAAAGCCGCCAGAGCAGCCUCAACCGUCCUCUGCAACAUGUUCCAGUACGGCAAGCUGCACAGAGACUACAAACUGAAAGGAUUUGUCAAACAAGACUUCACAGAUGUCUCCAUCUAGGCUGCAGCAUUUCAUCUGAGCUUAUGACCCCUGGAUCAAGUUUGCAGUGAAGGAAAGAAGAUGGAAUUCAAGCAAUUGAACUAUAGCAUAAGGAUUUAUAGACCUUGUUAGACAUGUAUUUUGGAUUAAAUAUUGAUAGGGACACAGUUCUUUGUAAUCUGUCCACUACUAACCAACAACUUUUCAUCCAUGCACACAACAGUGUGGUAGGAUAACAAUUUAAAAAAACGAAAAAUCAUAGUAAUGCGUGCAAAACAUCAAUUGGGUCAGUAUGUGGCGAAAACAAGCGGAGAUAAUUUCACACCAAUAGACAGCUGCCCCUCAGGAUUACAUUGUGACUGUUGCACAGCUUUUGGAUGUACUUGUUCAGUAGUGGACACAUUGCAGACUUAUAUCUCUAUAAAUUAUUUACACUUAAAUACACAGGGUGAUUCAAAAAGUUAUCCUUUAAUGAGGAGAUGAUGUAACAGUUUAACUUGGCUUGGGUUGCUGAAGAUAGACUUGCGAUGACGGGAAGCACCGUAUGUCCUGGAUGCGUAUUACAGGUUGACCCGCGUGUGUUGUUCUUUGUUGAAUUUCUGUUUUUUUGUUGUUGUUGUUUUGUUUUUGUUUUUUUGACAGUGACAGUUUCAAUACAUUUUAGAUUGUUGUUGCUAACAUAUAGAUGAGCUGGAUAGAUAGAUACACUACCAGUCAAAAAUAUGGACACAGAUAUGAGAUAGAUAGAUAGAUAGAUAGAUAGAUAGAUAGAUAGAUAGAUAGAUAGAUAGAUAGAUAGAUAGAUAGAUAGAUAGAUAGAUAGAUAGAUAGAUAGAUAGAUAGAUAGAUAGAUAGAUAGAUAGAAAGAAACAGUCAUAAUCAUAGCUAGGCUGCCUCACAAUGUGCAUUGCCUAUACAAUAUAUUCUAGUUUUAUGGUGAACUGACUUUUAACAUUAGAAAUAUUAAAAGACUGAACAUGGUCACAAUAAAUGCUUUUUAACCGUACUAUUGUACAUAGUAAAGUGCCUUUGAACAGUGACUCUAAGGAUAAUUCUGGUUUACUUCAAUCUGACAGACUUUAUUUCCCUGACAUGACACACCAAAGGGUUUGUCAUACAAAAUCAUCUGAGAAGACCUCUUUGGAGGAACGCAGUUAGUUUCUAAAAUCUACUUUGAAGGUGAUUAGACUCAAUGAAGACCAACCAACUUUAUGACAGAGGAGGGGGAGGCAAAGAAGAAGACAGAAGCAAUAAGUACGUCAGCACAUCAGUAGGCAGUGCUCACCUGGAGCCUUACAAGAUAGACUACCUACCUCUUGUGAGAAUGAUGAGGACGCAUUAUUCUCACAAGGAUCUGUCAAUGUUGUACACUGUUUUUAUGCAACUUGCUUGUAUGGGACCUCCAUAACUGAGGUGGAGAGUGCAAGGUCAGUGGCCCACAGAGCCAUAAAGGCUACAUCAGUCAGAAACACACCAGGUUGAAAUAAACAGGAAUUACACAAAGUGCCUCUGAACAGCGGUUUACGCUAUAGCUUCUGAAUCAGCUCUUUGAAAUGAAACCUUCUGUCAGAAGUAGCAGCUGAUUGUAGCUACCGUAGUGUGUCUGUUUCUGAUCUUAUUAGCAUAGAAGUCUAGAUCACAUGUGACACACCAAAGUUUUGCUUAUUUCUUUUGCUUAGUCCAAUGUGUAUACAAAUGACCUGUUAGAGAGGUUUAUGAAGUCAAAUACUGAUGCUAUAAAAGUGGAAAAGAGUGUAUGUCAGAAACAAUGAAAAAUAAACUGAAAAGUUAACGUUA